GACGAACGCUGGCGGCGUGCUUAACACAUGCAAGUCGAGCGGUAAGGCCCUUUCGGGGGUACACGAGCGGCGAACGGGUGAGUAACACGUGGGUGACCUGCCCUCAGCUCUGGGAUAAGCCUGGGAAACCGGGUCUAAUACUGGAUAUGACUCCAUGACGCAUGUUGUGGGGUGGAAAGCCUUGUGCGGCUGAGGAUGGGCCCGCGGCCUAUCAGCUUGUUGGUGGGGUGAUGGCCUACCAAGGCGACGACGGGUAGCCGGCCUGAGAGGGCGACCGGCCACACUGGGACUGAGACACGGCCCAGACUCCUACGGGAGGCAGCAGUGGGGAAUUUUGGACAAUGGGCGCAAGACCUGAUCCAGCCAUGCCGCGUGCGGGAAGAAAGGCCUCGGUUGUAACGUA
rnacentral:rRNA from 1 species